UACGUAGGGAGCGAGCGUUGUCCGGAAUCAUUGGGCGUAAAGCGCGUGUAGGCGGCCCGGAAAGUCUGGUGUGAAAACUUGGGGCUCAACCCCAAGCUGUCACUGGAUACUGUCGGGCUUGAAUCCGGAAGAGGAGAGUGGAAUUCCUGGUGUAGCGGUGGAAUGCGCAGAUAUCAGGAGGAACACCAAUGGCGAAGGCAGCUCUCUGGUACGUGAUUGACGCUGAGACGCGAAAGCGUGGGGAGCAAACAGGAUUAGAUACCCUGGUAGUCCACGCCGUAAACGAUGGGCGCUAGGUGUGGGAGGUGUCGAUUCCUUCCGUGCCGAAGCUAACGCAUUAAGCGCCCCGCCUGGGGAGUACGGCCGCAAGGCUAAA
rnacentral:rRNA from 1 species